UGAUCCCAGGCAGACAACAUAAAUGGU
rnacentral:piRNA from 1 species